rnacentral:lncRNA from 1 species
UGUCUCCUCUCAGGAACAAACAUUUCCUGUCCAGAACCUUUCCAUACUACCAUGCAAAGGCAUGUUGAAAGAGAAAAACACAAGACAAGCCAUCUAUCAAGUGAGCCUGAAUGAUAAACACAGAGAACACAGUGGGGAGGAUUUGGUCUUAAAAAGGCUGAGGCCAUCUUUGUUGAACCUGCAGCACAUACAUGAAUAUGGACAGGAGUCUGCUCUAUCGUCUCACAGAGUCCAAAACUGUGUAGUCCAACUUCUUUUAACCAGACACACUAUUUGGAUGAGGCUGCGAUUCGUCACCAGGAGAAGGAGAGAGCCAACUUUACCCAAAAACUGCUGAAAUAUACACUCUCAGUUCCUGGCCGAGGAAGUGGAGCUCGCCUGGAGGACCUCUACAAGACAGCAGAGUCACUUUAUUUUAAGAGGACGGCUCGUAGUAAGUGCUGUUUUUUCUUGUUGGCUUAAAGUUUAUGUUGUUGUCGUUGUCUGGGCCACUGUUGGCUCUGUGUUGACUGCUGCUUUCAAGGUCUUACAGUUAAGUCUUAGUUUUUUUGGUUUAACUCCUUCUAACCAGACACACUCUUUGGACAGGGCUGCGAUUUAUCACCAGGAGAAAGUGGAGCUCGCCUGGAGGACCUCUACAAGACAACGGAGUGACUUCAUUUCAAGACAGCUCAAAGUAAGCGCUGUUUUUUCUUAUUGGCUUAAAGUUCAUGUCUGUUUAUGCUCGCUGCUUUGCUGUUGGCCCGUGUGCCUUCGCUUGUUUUAUUGUCGAAUUUCUGUCUUCGCCCUGUUUUAUGCAAGUUGCUAUGCUUCUGGCCGCUGUGCCUUCGCUUGUUUAUUGUUGAUUUUAAGUUUUUGCGCUGUUUUAUGCAAAUUGCUAUGUUGUUGGCCGCCAUGCCUAUGCUUGUGCUAUUGUUGAAUUUGUAUCUUCGCCCUGUUUUAUGCAAGUUGCUAUGCUGUUGGCCGCUGUGCCUUUGCUGUUUCAAUUGUUGAAGUUGUGUGUUUGUGCUGUUGUAUGCUAGCUGCUAUGUUGUAGGCCGCCGUGCCUUUGCUUGUGCUACUGUAAAAGUUGUGUCUUUGUGUUGUUUGAUGCUAUGUGCUAUGUUGUUGGCCGCCGUGCCUUAGCUUGUUUAUUGGUGAAUUUGUGUUUUUUUGUGUUGUUUUAUGCUAGCUGCUAUGCUAAUGGCCGCUGUGCCUUUGCUCGUUUUAAAUGUUGAAUUGGUGUCUUUGUGCUGUUUUAUGCUAGCUCCUAUGUUGUAGGCCGCUGUGCCUUUGCUGGUUCAAUUGUUGAAUUUGUGUGUUUGUGCUGUUUUAUGCUAGCUGCUAUGCUGUUGGCUGCCGUGCCUUUGCUCGUUUUAAAUGUCGAAUUUGUGUGUUUGUGCUGUUUUAUGCUAGCUGCUAUGUUGUUAGCCGCUGUGCCUUUGCUUGUUUAUUGUUGAAUUUGUGUGUUUGUGCUGUUUUAUGCUAGCUGCUAUGCUGUUGGCCUCCUUGCCUUUGCUUGUGUUGUUGGUAUGUUGAAUUUGUGUCUUUCCACUGUUGUUGUUAAAAUGCUGCUGAGCCAAACUUCUUUGUCUCUAUGAUGCUUUCUUUUGCUCAAAUUCAUGUUUCAAGCUGGGUUUUUUUCUCCCGCCCCAAACUGAAACUUUGACACUUGACAUAGACCAGGUUCCGACUUGUAAGAGUGUAAACAGGUUUCAUGUGGACUGAAUUGAACCAGUUUGGCUGUCUAGCUUUGUAGCUCUACUGGCAUUUGGGUGGAGCCAUGUUUUUUUUUUUUUUUCAAGGUUCAUCUUUUCUAUUUGCUUUUAGUUUGUUCUGUCCUGAUCAAGAGGGUCGGGGUUAGAGUGUUGGGGUUAGCGUUGGUUAAACCAGGGUAUGUCUCCAGCCCCUCACUUUAGCUCACUGCAGACCAUCAUUUCACGGUUGUAAUGAGUUUAAUGUGAUGGCUUUGAUAAAAUAUUGUCGGAUACACAGAUUUAUCGAAUUGUUCUGCACUGGCUCUUUUUAAUGAGCCCAGAAACCCCCCGCCUCUAACGUUCAGAGGCUGUCCUUGGUCGAGGGGGCCAUUACAAUACAAAAGGAUGUUUAUUCUCAUGUAAGUCAGAUUGCAAGUCAUUAUUUGCGUCUGUUUAUAACUUCAGACCUUUGCUGUUCAGUUUUAGUUCAAAGGAGAUAAAGUGCUGUUGCCCUACUUUGUUUACAGUGAAGUUUGCAGUCUGGGAUAUUUCCAUUUACUUGAAACUUAUAUCACAAUGCUCAUGAGCUGUAAAACAGCAUUUCUAAUCCCCCCUUUUUCUUAAAUCUGUGUUUUUUCAUGAGGAAAAUCUGUCAGUGCCUCCUCAGCAAUCGACCUCUCCACAUAUCACCCACCAUGUGGUCUGUCCUACAUUUCUAUCCAAGUAAAAAAAGAAGCCAAAUAUCUGUAUCUAGCAUUAAACUUUGAGUGAUAUAUGAGAAAACUCCCCAUCUGUCACUGGACACAGUUUUGUUAGUCUUUUAAAAUUGAAAAUCCUCUUUUUGGGGUAUCUUUAAAACAAACCCGAUAACGUUUUAAAACAAAAACCUGACACUUCGGUUCAUCAGUUUGUACCUUUUGGACCUUUUUGUGCGCUCUAGUCAAAAGACGCCAAAAAAAAAAAAAAAGAGAACCAGUCAGGGUGAGGCUUAGAGCUUAGCCGCCAGUCUCUGAGCGAUUGAUGUUUGAACAAUGGAUGACCUUGGCCACCGCCGAUGUCUCAGGCGCAGCAGACAGAGUUGAAAGAGUGAGGAGGUACAUUUUUAAAAAGUAGCCUGAAAAUGAUUUAUCUUUGGUCGGUGCGUUAGAGCCGGGGUCAUAUUGUUCCGUCCAACCUGUUUCCAUGUACUAAAUUUUUUUGCCAGGCCUGGAGAGAUGCUGCUUGUCACUGUUGUUGUCUGAGGUACUUUAUCUUUGCUUUGGUUUGAUCUGCGGGCAGGUCUCUUUCAAUAAACAGCUUUUCCCAUUUAUGGGACAGACCACAGCUUGUCAACAGCUGCUGAAGUCGUCGUCUCUGACGGAAAGUUUGUUCUAAAGAAAGUUGAUCAUUGUUUGGAGUUGAAUAUGAAUUAAGUUACAUUAAAAUGAAUGGUGAUAGGUCAGUAUGGACUAAUACACACUUUUGUACAAAGGAUUACAAAUAGUAUCUGACACAUCAUCCAAAGUAAGAGUAUCACAAAUAAAUGAUGAAUCGCAAAUCAGUCAUAUAAUGACAUUUGUAAUUAACUGUAUUUAUACAUUAUGUUGAUGGUUGAGUGAUAAUGAUGCUGAUUAAUAUAAAAAAAAACACAAGGUUAUUAUAUGGCAAAAACAACAUUAAACUGUUAUUCUUUACACUAUAACAGAUCAAAUAUUGUAUUAAAUGUUUAAUAUAGAAGAGGUAUUGGUAAUAUUGGCCUUGUGAAGGCUGAUAUCAUGUCAAAACGCAGAUAAUUGGUCUGAUUAAUUGACCUAGAAGUUAGUUGUAUAUGGUAUAUAUAUGUCAGGGGUGGGCAAUUAAUUUUUACAUGGGGCCACAUGAGAAACCUGAACUGUGUUGGAGGGCCGAACCAACAAUAACUUCAACUUCAAAUCAGGGGGGUUCACACAUACAGAAAAGCAAGCCCAAAUAAGCAACUACUAGUUAAAAACAAGCCCAAAAAAUCACACCCGCGAGCGACUUCUGAGAGAAACAAGUUUAAAGUCUUUUAUGACAAGCAGACUUGGCAACUAUAACCCACCUAUGUAUGUUUUGCCGAUGUUUAAACUUGUCUCUGUUCACGAAUGCAGAUCUACGAUGUAAACACGUGCGUCCAAACUGAAAUAAAACAACAGGUAGGUUUUCAAAAUAAAAGCAACAUACUUUUAUAGCAUGUUGAUGAUUUGAUUGACGGACCUCAUGAAGGGCCGGGUAGGGACGUCCGAAGGGCCGCAUGUGACCCCCGGGCUGUAAAAUACCCAGGUCUGAUAUUGGUCAGUAUUAGGUAUUAGUUGGUAUUAUUGGUAUUAGUAUUGGCCUUGCAAAAACAAUAUUGGUUGACUCCCAUUAUGUCACAUAAUACCAGGUACACAUCCUAUGUUAACAAUGCGAUAAUAAUGACCUCUCUGAUUCUCUCUCUCUAUAUGUUGGGUAUAUAUAAAUGUAUUGGAAAAACCUUCUUACCAUUCAAACCAGUACCACAGCACUGAAUGCUGAAUCUGAAAAACAGCCCAAACUCCAGUGAGAAAAACCUGUUUAUGACUUAUUAUGAGAAUGAAAUGGAAAUGAAAAAUAAUGAAGCUCUUUUAGUUUGGGCUGUAGCUGCAAGUCGAUGGUCUGAAUGCUAAUUGACUGAUUUACAUCCACUGAUAAUGAGCAUGUUAGAAGAGUCAGCUUAAGUGGUGAUUAUUAUUUCCUUUGGUGCUGAUACUUCGCCUCGGGGAACAGCUUAGGUUGAUGCUAAAUACAUAAAGCACUUUUUCCUCUCCGAGAUUGCAUUCUUACCUGCCUUUGCUGCUACUGUGACACAUUUUUGGGAGGGGAGUGAUGACUUUAUUGUUGAAUUAAUAAUUGAACAGAAAAUUUUUAGAGAGACUUCGCAGCCUAAGGCACUUAAGCAGGAGAAACCAUUUUUUAGAGUGGGGGGAAAAAGCAGGAGGGGGUUCGAGUGUCAGUCCCACAAUCAUGUCACGAACCUGGGAGGAAGUUUUGUAGCCGUAGCUUAUUCAGCACUGUGAGGCAACACACUCAGCACAACAUACCCCCCCAUGUCCUGGCAAGCUAAUACAUUUUUAUUACUUGUGUCAGGCCGUUUUAAAGGUACCACACUAUGCAAAUGAUGAACUCUUCCCGGGGUGUAUUUUCUUGCUGACAGUUAGGAGAAAAGCUGAGUGUCACAACAUAGUUUUUUUCCACAUAUGUACUCUAUCCCAAAGCAGUAGGAUUUUUUUUCUUUUUUUGGGGGGGUGGAUACGUGCCAGGUCCUCCUCCACAGUCUGGAAAGUAAAACUUUAUUAGGAUGUAACUUAUUAAAUCGAAUCCUGACCAUUUCGGUUAUGUUGCUGCAGAUUUCAACUUGUUGCCGAAUGCUUUAAGACUCGUAAUUGAGGGGUAGGGGAUGCCUUCUUAAUGGCGCCGAGUCUUGAUAGAAUUGGCUGGAGCUGCUGCCUCCUAUAACUCAUGUUUUCUCCCCCGCUCACAGCCCUCCCUCUAAUGGGACAUGCCUCAAACUGAACAAUAGUUCCAUUAAACGCCAAGUCAGAAACAAGAAGUUGAACACCGAGCCUUUCAAACUGGCGAGGGCCCUGAAAGCUGAAAGAUGGAAUUUCAGCUGCUGCAGAUUAAAAGCCCAACGUCGCAGAUGGAAGCGAAAGAGAAUGAGAAAAGAGAGAGAGAGUGAAAGAAUGGUAGACGGAGGGAAAAACGAGGAAGCACAGGAGCAAGACAGAGGUGGCAGGCAGUCAAAGUGGCAGUUACACUGUAAAUAAGAUCUCCCCACAGGGUGCUUAACUCUGGACUGCCUUUGUCUGGCCUUUAAUAGCUUACAGGGCUGAGAGAGACAGAUUAGAGCAAAACUGCAGGGACACAGAAAUAUAGGCUUUGUCUACAGCUGGGAUUUAUCUCCCACCCUCAGUCUGAACUUUUGUUUUCCUGGGGGCUUCUCCUGUGUUGAUUCGAGAAAACCUGACUUGUGUCUUACUUCCCGUCGAGUUCGAAUCAGUAUCACCUCAAAGAGAUUAUCUCCACUGUGUUGAUGUUGACGUGGUGCUUUUUUUUAAAAAUCGCAAAUAAAUCGUCUCGACAGAACAGGUAGACUUGACGGACGUGGGUGGUUCGUGAACUUUUUCAACUUUUAUUGGGAUGCAUUUUUUCCUCGUUGAAAAGCAGAGUAGCGUGGAAAGAAAGCAGGCUCAUUAAUCAAAGUGCAGCCUAAAGGGAAAACAUACCGGGCUACAUUAAUUUUCACAGCGGAGUGGCUGAGGGAAAUGAUUAAUAUAUUACUGAGAGGAAACAGGUUAAGAAGGCCUGAUUACUGUCAUAUAGCAGAUCAAUGGGAAGUUCUGCAUUAUUUACCGAUUUUGUCAUCGUAAAACGAGCCGGGACAAAGAAAAUACAAAAUAUUCAAUACCCUAUUAUUCCUCCGCAGCAGAUCUAAAAUUAAUAAAUAAUGCUUUUUUCCAGAAUUUAGGCUACAUAACCAAGCUGAAAAGAGUCAGGGGAGUGUCAUUUACAUAAUACACCUCGCAUUUAAAAUCAGGUGUUCGUUAAUAAUGAGCUCUUGUGUUUGAAGGAGCUCUUCAUUAGUGUGAAUGAGCAUGUGAUCGCCCGCGCUUUGAUGUGACUUCACACGGGGGGGAACAAAAAAAAAAAAAGAGAGAAGAAAAUGCGUCCGCGUGGCUAAUGAAGUUCCGAAAACGACCCCGGAGUUCAGUCAAUGUCAGCGCUUCUUUUGACAUCCAAAGUGAACAAGAGACCCCUCAGAGGCUUUUGAUGGUUCACGCCCAAGUUUAAGGGCUCUUAUGGCGCCACCUGAAUGCAAAUGUAACCCGGGACGACUCUUGACUGAACACUCUACUUCUCAUCGAGACUUUUGUGAUAUGUCAGUCAAGCAGUCAUAGCUCGUCUAUUUUUUUGAUGAUUCGUCGUGAAACACACUUCGUUUUCGCCGCUGUCCUAGCAGCAACAACACGGACACCUGCGUGUUUUGAUGGCGCUAUGCUAAUGAGCUGCUGCAUGAGCGGAUGCUGCUUCGGAAAGAGAGAGGAGAGCCUAAUUAAUUUUCAGAUUCCAGCUUUGAUGUGUCUAAUUGCUCUAAGCUUCCCAACUUCAUUAGUCAGCGAGCUCCCUCGGUGGACGGUGAAGCCGGGUCCCUACGGUUACCGAGCAGAGAUUUACCUGUGUAUUUUUAGGCUCUGUUAUUAUUAGAUGCACUGUUGCGGCUGCUGCAUCUCGGCCCAGACUAAAACCAAUAAGAACGAAGACGCUUUAACAGACAUCAUGAUCCAUUUCUUUAGUUAUUGAUAUGAUAUUGAUAAGUCACUGCCUGUUGGGUUCAUCUUAAUGUGGGACUUGCUUUAAAUUCCCUCUAUUCAGUAUACUCUAAUGUAUUUCUAAUGUAUUUGAUUAAUUUUAAAAGUCAGUUCAUGAGUGUAAAAAUCAGGCCAAUAUUCUUCCUCUAAUCCUUCAAGCAAACAGAAAAACAAAGUAAAAACUUAACCUCUUGAGCAGAAAACCUACUUUCUUUACUUUUUAAACAAAUAAAGUUAUGCUUUAAGGACUUGGAAAUAUACAAUUUCAGCAUUUAUAGAUACGCUGAAGCCAUGCCAGACAACAAACCUA